rnacentral:rRNA from 1 species
UCGGGAAUUUUGGGCAAUGGGGGAAACCCUGACCCAGCAACGCCGCGUGAAGGAUGAAGUAUUUCGGUAUGUAAACUUCGUAAGAAUAGGAAGAAUAAAUGACGGUACUAUUUGUAAGGUCCGGCUAACUACGUGCCAGCAGCCGCGGUAAUACGUAGGGACCAAGCGUUGUUCGGAUUUACUGGGCGUAAAGGGCGCGUAGGCGGCAUGACAAGUCACUUGUGAAAUCUCUGGGCUUAACCCAGAACGGCCAAGUGAUACUGUCGCGCUAGAGUGCAGAAGGGGCAAUCGGAAUUCUUGGUGUAGCGGUGAAAUGCGUAGAUAUCAAGAGGAACACCUGAGGUGAAGACGGGUUGCUGGGCUGACACUGACGCUGAGGCGCGAAAGCCAGGGGAGCAAACGGGAUUAGAUACCCUCGUAGUCCCUGAGCGGGCUGGCAAGGCGCAU